rnacentral:rRNA from 1 species
CGGUGCCUACGGGAGGCAGCAGUGAGGAAUAUUGGUCAAUGGGCGGGAGCCUGAACCAGCCACGCCGCGUGAGGGAAGAAGGUACAGCGUAUCGUAAACCUCUUUUGUCAGGGAACAAAGGCGGGGACUAGUCCCCGGAUGAGGGUACCUGAAGAAAAAGCAUCGGCUAACUCCGUGCCAGCAGCCUCGGUAAUACGGAGGAUGCGAGCGUUAUCCGGAUUUAUUGGGUUUAAAGGGUGCGAAGGCGGCCUGGUAAGUCAGC